rnacentral:rRNA from 1 species
GACGAACCGUGCGAACGUUGUUCGGAUUCACUGGGCUUAAAGGGCGCGUAGGCGGGCCGCCAAGUCUGUGGUGAAAGCCCCCCGGCUUAACCGGGGGAAGUGCCGCGGAUACUGGCGGUCUCGAGGGGGUGCAGGGGGCAUGUGGAACUUCCGGUGGAGCGGUGAAAUGCGUAGAUAUCGGAAGGAACGCCGGUGGCGAAAGCGACGUGCUGGACACCUACUGAGUGAGGCGCGA